UGAAAAAAAUGUUAAUAUCAAAAGGUAAGAAAGCUUAUUGUUGUUUUUUCCUUUCAGUGUUGAUUCCCAUAGAUCAUGUAGAUUAUAACCAUUUUUUUAAUGCAGGAUUGUCAAUUUUCCUUACGAUGGUGGUUGGUUUCUCAUGGCAAUCCUGCUUCCUCCAACAAUAAAACUGGCCACCAGGAAAAUAGCCCAAAAUUUGGUGCUCAAAUGUGGCAUUUAAACACCAACAAUUAAUCAAUCAAUUCAUUCAUUAAUUUAAUAACUGAUUUAACCAGAUGCUCUGCAGGGUGCAGCUUUAUACGACCGCAGAGGUUGAACCCUGAACAGUUGGGGCAAGUAUGGACACAACAUUCAAGCUGGAUUCAGCUCUAAAUUUGGAUUGUGAUUAAAUAGUUGACACAGCAUAGGUUUCUGACACAGAAUGAAUGUGGUCUAAUGAACUUAAAAUACUUUU
rnacentral:lncRNA from 1 species